rnacentral:rRNA from 1 species
GACGAACGCUGGCGGCGUGCUUAACACAUGCAAGUCGAACGGAAAGGCCCUGCUUUUGUGGGGUGCUCGAGUGGCGAACGGGUGAGUAACACGUGAGUAACCUGCCCUUGACUUUGGGAUAACUUCAGGAAACUGGGGCUAAUACCGGAUAGGAGCUCCUGCUGCAUGGUGGGGGUUGGAAAGUUUCGGCGGUUGGGGAUGGACUCGCGGCUUAUCAGCUUGUUGGUGGGGUAGUGGCUUACCAAGGCUUUGACGGGUAGCCGGCCUGAGAGGGUGACCGGCCACAUUGGGACUGAGAUACGGCCCAGACUCCUACGGGAGGCAGCAGUGGGGAAUAUUGCACAAUGGGCGGAAGCCUGAUGCAGCAACGCCGCGUGCGGGAUGACGGCCUUCGGGUUGUAAACCGCUUUCGCCUGUGACGAAGCGUGAGUGACGGUAAUGGGUAAAGAAGCACCGGCUAACUACGUGCCAGCAGCCGCGGUGAUACGUAGGGUGCGAGCGUUGUCCGGAUUUAUUGGGCGUAAAGGGCUCGUAGGUGGUUGAUCGCGUCGGAAGUGUAAUCUUGGGGCUUAACCCUGAGCGUGCUUUCGAUACGGGUUGACUUGAGGAAGGUAGGGGAGAAUGGAAUUCCUGGUGGAGCGGUGGAAUGCGCAGAUAUCAGGAGGAACACCAGUGGCGAAGGCGGUUCUCUGGGCCUUUCCUGACGCUGAGGAGCGAAAGCGUGGGGAGCGAACAGGCUUAGAUACCCUGGUAGUCCACGCUGUAAACGGUGGGUACUAGGUGUGGGGUCCAUUCCACGGGUUCCGUGCCGUAGCUAACGCUUUAAGUACCCCGCCUGGGGAGUACGGCCGCAAGGCUAAAACUCAAAGGAAUUGACGGGGCCCCGCACAAGCGGCGGAGCAUGCGGAUUAAUUCGAUGCAACGCGUAGAACCUUACCUGGGUUUGACAUGGAUCGGGAGCGCUCAGAGAUGGGUGUGCCUCUUUUGGGGUCGGUUCACAGGUGGUGCAUGGCUGUCGUCAGCUCGUGUCGUGAGAUGUUGGGUUAAGUCCCGCAACGAGCGCAACCCUUGUUCACUGUUGCCAGCACGUUAUGGUGGGGACUCAGUGGAGACCGCCGGGGCCAACUCGGAGGAAGGUGGGGAUGACGUCAAGUCAUCAUGCCCCUUAUGUCCAGGGCUUCACGCAUGCUACAAUGGCUGGUACAGAGAGUGGCGAGCCUGUGAGGGUGAGCGAAUCUCGGAAAGCCGGUCUCAGUUCGGAUUGGGGUCUGCAACUCGACCUCAUGAAGUCGGAGUCGCUAGUAAUCGCAGAUCAGCAACGCUGCGGUGAAUACGUUCCCGGG